CGAAGGCCUCCAUUUGUCAGAGAGAGGGGCCUGCUCCCAUCAGCUCCAGGGUCUGAAAACCCAUCUCGAGACAUCUCAAGAGCCAAUUGCUCCUUAAAAUUGUGUUUGAAGACUAACCCUUCAAGUCUGGAUCUACAAGGAAGGAACCUGUCCUCUGUCUUUGUUGCUCAAGCUGAUGUCAUGUUCUAAGGGACUGGGUUUGCUAAGUGGCAACAAGAUGCCUCCAGAAGGACCCAGAUUGCCUGCAGUGCGGGGCGGGGACCUGAGAAACAAGGCAAGAAGGACAGGCAACUACUCUCCCUAAGAUGGAGGCCACAUGAUGUAAGCGGCUGGCUAAAAUAGCUGGCAUGCUUGCAGUUUUAAGUUGCCAGCUAAAUAUUAUUAAAAAGAUAAAAUACACGCAAA